rnacentral:lncRNA from 1 species
GUAGCAGGGAGCAAGCAGAAAGCUGACAUACUUACCAAGGCACUUGGCAAGAUCAAGUUUACAGAAAUGAGGGAGUUCAUCGGUGUUCUAAAUUUGGGACAAGUAAACUUCAAGCUUAAAGGGGAGAUUGUUGAGUUAAGCUUGAAAAUGUUAGAUCAAGACUAAAGACUUGCGAUACAAGUUAAAGGAGAUCCUAGUCUAUCCGAAGUUUGAAAAUAAAGAUGGCGAGAUGUUUUAAGACUAGUUUUUAUGUUUUAGUUUGUUAUAUAUAUACAUUCAUCGAGUUAUGAUAGAUUGUAUGAGUUUGUGAGAUCUUGAGGUUUUGUGUGAGUUUUACCUUGAGGCAAUAAGAGAGUUAUUCUUUGAGAAAAUGUGUAUUUAAAUACCAAACUAUCUCAAAUUCUCUAAAAAAAAAUACAAACUUUUCAUUAACCCAAAUAAAUCACAAACUUAUAUUGACUGGGUUAUAUUAGGUACACCUUUGGUCAACUUAAUUUGUCGUUAAAUCUCCAUCUAAUAUUCCGUUUGUUGAUAUGAUGUCAUUUGAGAAUAGACCAAAAAGCUAAAAAUUCCAAAUUGAUACUUUUAAUCCAUUUUAGAACCAUGUCUUCUUUGUCUUCUCUUUCUUUCUGCAAAUAAUCUUCCAUCUAAACUAAUUAUCUCUUCUUUCUUUUCUCAUUGGACAUUGCUAGAUAUGAAAUAGAUUUUUGUUUAUAAUUUUAUUUCCUGCAACAGUGUAAGGAUUUUAUAUAUGUUCAAGUGGUUUUGCUGGUCACAACCUGAAAACCAUACUUUGAGGAGACUUUGGACUACAUAAGAUAAGUGGACACCAAGGAAUCUCUAGUAGAAGAGAUGGAUGAGGAAGCUCAAGAAGUGGUGUUUCCCGGCACGAGCGAAUUGACUUUUAUUUUAUUUUCAAACUUUUUCUGUCAUUUUUGGAUAUGCGCAAACUGUUUUAACCUUACAACUGAUACAAAGAAAGGCCAUCACAAAGGGCAGUAACAAAAGCACACACGAAUAGUUUUCAUAAAACAUAAGUAAUCCAAAUUUGACAAGAUAAGUAACGAUCUCUUGAAAAAAGGAAUAUCUCAGCAACACAUGAUAGUUUGAAACAGAUAAAAACAACAAAAGAAACAACAGAUGCAUCACACGACCAUCAAUCUUGUGAUCCAAUUUAUGAUCCACCUUUGAACCUCCCUAAUAGAACACAUAAAAAUUUGAGAUUUUCUAGAAUCGAUAUGAUAUAAAAUCAGACAGACAAUAAAAGUGCACCUGAUCAUUCUUUGGCCGACCCCUUGGACGUUUAGGUUCAGGUUGAAUGCUUGGUUUUGAACAUCUCGGCUUGGUAUGUCCUUCUUCUCUACAAUUAGAGCAUGUCAUGACACGCUUCUCACGGCUUAACUUGGUUUUACUAGAGGAAGAGGAUGAUUCAUUUGUGCUUUUCCGUCUGGCAUAAGUGCUUGGUCUUCCUCUAUUACCUAACCUAUUUGGUGGAGGCAAGACUGGUAACCUGUUCAGCAUAGACCAUAACUUCAUCCCUUCCACAGGCCUAAUACUACAAUCAUAAGUUUUUCUCCAUCUUAUGGUAGUGUAAUAAUCAGAAACAUAGUCAUCUACUUUCUGUUUCUUUGCUGUUAUCACACAAGCAGCAUGGUUACAAGGAAUUCCAUUCAAUUGCCACAUCCCACAACCACAUGUUUUCAGACCCAUAUCAACGCUAUACGAGCAGUUAUGAUAGUUAAUUUCAUAGACAUCACCCGUAGCCAUGUAUCUAAUACAAUCUUGAGACUUAGCUAUGGCAGUUUCUAUCGCAAUAUGUGCCCUCUUUGUGUAUCUAGUCUUCAAUCUAUUAGCGAUGAUAUACCUUUUUGCUGUGCGUACCAUACAUUUUCGCCUAAUAUCUUCUAACAUGCCAAGUAGUGGUUUUCUCCUAGCCUCGCGAAUGGUUUUGUUAAAAGAUUCAUUCAGGUUGUUCAAAUUAUCAUUGCAACAAGAACCAACCUUAAAGUAAGCUCGAGACCAUGUAUGUGGAUUGGUGGCUUGUAGAGUUUGAUGUGCUAGCUGAUUGUAGCUCUUCAAUGCAUUCAUAUGCUCUGUAAAGUCUCCUAAGGUGUAGCUACGGGCUAUUUUCCAGAACAGUUUCUCUAGUUGUGGGUCGUGGCUGUCUCUCUUCCAGUUUCCUAGAAUGUGUCGCGCACACAUACGAUGUUCUGCAUUGGGAAGUUCGAGGUGUUUUGUGUGAGUUUUACCUUGAGGCAAUAAGAGAGUUAUUCUUUGAGAAAAUGUGUAUUUAA